GAUGAACGCUGGCGGCGUGCCUAAUACAUGCAAGUCGAGCGAACGGACGAGAAGCUUGCUUCUCUAACGUUAGCGGCGGACGGGUGAGUAACACGUGGAUAACCUACCUAUAAGACUGGGAUAACUUCGGGAAACCGUAGCUAAUACCGGAUAAUAUUUUGAACCGCAUGGUUCAAUAGUGAAAGACGGUCUUGCUGUCACUUAUAGAUGGAUCCGCGCUGCAUUAGCUAGUUGGUAAGGUAACGGCUUACCAAGGCAACGAUGCAUAGCCGACCUGAGAGGGUGAUCGGCCACACUGGAACUGAGACACGGUCCAGACUCCUACGGGAGGCAGCAGUAGGGAAUCUUCCGCAAUGGGCGAAAGCCUGACGGAGCAACGCCGCGUGAGUGAUGAAGGUCUUCGGAUCGUAAAACUCUGUUAUUAGGGAAGAACAUAUGUGUAAGUAACUGUGCACAUCUUGACGGUACCUAAUCAGAAAGCCACGGCUAACUACGUG
rnacentral:rRNA from 1 species